UACGUAGGGGGCAAGCGUUGUCCGGAUUUAUUGGGCGUAAAAGGCUUGUAGGUGGCCACGCCAAGUCGGAUGUGAAAUCUCCCGGCUCAACUGGGAGGGGUCAUUCGAUACUGGCGGGCUCGAGGCCGGUAGGGGGAAGUGGAAUUCCCGGUGUAGUGGUGGAAUGCGUAGAUAUCAGGAAGAACACCCGUGGCGAAGGCGGCUCUCUGGGACGGUACUGACGCUGAGACGCGAAAGCGUGGGGAGCGAACAGG
rnacentral:rRNA from 1 species